rnacentral:tRNA from 1 species
GCUGAGGUAGCCAAGCUAGGUCUAAGGCACUAGAAACAGGCUUUGCCUGUUUCGGUCGACUAACGGCGCUGGUCUGGAAAGCCAGUGUGCGCAAGCACGCGGGGGUUCAAAUCCCUCCCUCAGCG